GACAGAGGUCCCGAGCGUUAGGCGGAAUCACUGGGCUUAAAGCGUGUGUAGGCGGACUUCUAAGUACCUUGUGAAAUCCCACGGCUCACCCGUGGAACUGCUCGGUAUACUGGUUGUCUUGAGCCUUCGUAGGGGCGAGUGGAACAAAUGGUGGAGCGGUGAAAUGCGUAGAUAUCAUUGGAACGCCAAUGGUGAAAACAACUCGCUGGGGGAAGUGCUGACGCUGAGAACACGGAAAGCCAGGGGAGGCGAACGGG
rnacentral:rRNA from 1 species